GCCAGUGUAGCAUAGUGGUUUGAGUGUUGGAUUGUGAUUCUGGAGACUGGGAUUUGAUUCCCAGCUCAGCCA